rnacentral:tRNA from 1 species
GGAAGGUUGGCUGAGCGGCUUAAGGCACCCCAUUGAUACUGGGGCGAUCGGUUGUGAGACUGGUCCGAGGGUUCGAAUCCCUCACCCUA